GACGAACGCUGGCGGCGUGCUUAACACAUGCAAGUCGAACGGGUCUGCCCUGUUUUUUGCGGGGUGGGUCAGUGGCGAACGGGUGAGUAACACGUGAGUAACCUGCCCCUCACUUCUGGAUAACCGCUUGAAAGGGUGGCUAAUACGGGGUGUUCUGGCUGUGCCGCAUGGUGUGGCUGGGAAAGAUUCACUUUUGUGGUGUUUUGGUGGGGGAUGGGCUCGCGGCCUAUCAGCUUGUUGGUGGGGUGAUGGCCUGCCAAGGCUUUGACGGGUAGCCGGCCUGAGAGGGUGGGCGGUCACACUGGGACUGAGAUGCGGCCCAGACUCCUGCGGGAGGCAGCAGUGGGGGGUAUUGCACAAUGGGCGGAAGCCUGAUGCAGCGACGUCGCGUGAGGGAUGGAGGCCUUCGGGUUGUGAACCUCUUUCGCCGGUGAAGAAGGUCCUGCUCUUUGUGGUGGGGUUGACGGUAGCCGGGUUAUGAAGCGCCGGCUAACUACGUG
rnacentral:rRNA from 1 species